UACGUAGGGUGCGAGCGUUAAUCGGAAUUACUGGGCGUAAAGCGUGCGCAGGCGGUUCGUUAAGACAGAUGUGAAAUCCCCGGGCUUAACCUGGGAACUGCAUUUGUGACUGGCGAGCUAGAGUAUGGCAGAGGGGGGGUAGAAUUCCACGUGUAGCAGUGAAAUGCGUAGAGAUGUGGAGGAAUACCGAUGGCGAAGGCAGCCCCCUGGGCCAAUACUGACGCUCAGGCACGAAAGCGUGGGGAGCAAACAGGG
rnacentral:rRNA from 1 species